rnacentral:antisense_RNA from 1 species
AUCUACGGCGGGCGGUGCGUGGGGGCCUUGUGCCCGCCGGUUCAUCGACUCCGGUAUUGGAACCACGCAUCGUCCGCCACCCUC